GAAGGGGGCUAGCGUUGUUCGGAAUUACUGGGCGUAAAGCGCGCGUAGGCGGUUUUGCAAGCCAGAGGUGAAAUGCCUGAGCUCAACUUAGGAAUUGCCUUUGGGACUGCGAGGCUUUGAGGACUGGAGAGGUGAGUGGAAUUCCCAGUGUAGAGGUGAAAUUCGUAGAUAUUGGGAAGAACACCAGUGGCGAAGGCGGCUCACUGGCCAGUUUCUGACGCUGCAGCGCGAAAGCGUGGGGAUCAAACAGGAUUAGAUACCCUGGUAGUCCACGCUGUAAACGAUGAGUGCUAGGCGUCGGCACGCUUGCGUGUCGGUGCCGCAGCUAACGCGUGAAGCACUCCGCCUGGGGAGUACGGUCGCAAGAUUAAA
rnacentral:rRNA from 1 species